GCCUCUCUCUCUGUGUCUCUCGUGAAUAAAUUUUUUAAAUCUUAAAAAAAAGAAAGAAAGAAAGAAGAAAAAGAAAAAAAAGAGAUGAAGGAGUAGGGCCAGCUUUGGGGAGCAUCCUGAGCACAUGGUCUAACCCCUGGCAAGCCUCAUUUCCCCAGGUGCAGAACAGGGGUCACAAAAGCCCCUGCAUCCCAGGCCCCGAGCCCUGGGCCUCUGCCCACCCACCUGCCCACGGCAGGGGUUAUGUGUCCCGCGCUUCCCGGGGGCAUCCACAUGAAGCCAACUGGACUGACAAAGACUAUGUGAUUUAACAAUUACGGACAUUCCUCUUUGCUGAAGAAUUUUAAAGACAUCCCAGACAUCAUGGCAUUUCUUUGGCAAAAUAUAUAAAGCAAGUAAGUCCAUCACCACAUGCUUCAGUGGUCAUCUCUGAAAAUGAAGACUGUUUCUUGCAUCACUGUGAUGGCAUCAUCACAAAGACAGGGCGCCUUUGAAGAUUAAGUGCGUUAAUAGGUCUGAAGCCCAAGGCUGGGCAUGUAGGAAGCCCUCAGUUAGCACCAGCUGGUUCCACUGGCUCCUAAGUUUCCCAGUCUAGUGGGGGCUUGACGCAUCCCUUUCCCAGGACACACACAUACUCAUUGUCUAAGUCCCUUGCUGUGAGGACAGACGGACACCAGAGGAAGAGACAGUCAUGGCCAAUGGCAAGGGCAGGAACCUAACAGGCCAAACCCAGUGCCCUGGGGAUGUCACACCCUGACCGGGCCCGGGCUGCAAUCAGGGGACCCCAGGGGCUUGUGGUGUGCCCUCACCAGUCAUCCAGUCGCCGCUGCAGCUCCGGGAGGAAGAACUGAGCGUGGAACUGGUAGAUGGAGGAGAUGUUGGAGAAGAUGAGCCUGACCACAUCCUCAGGGAAGGCCUUGCUGCUGCGGGCUUCCCUCAGUAGCUCCUGAAAGAACACCUGCAACCGCCACUGCUGGUCACUAGGCCUGUGGCAGAGGAGGGCCCCCCAGCCACAUAGCAGCAGCCUAGAGGGACAGGAGCACAGCCUGGGGUCUUAGGGGCCCCUCCCCAGUUUACUGAAUGCUUUCACCUCUUCAGUCUCCCAUCAUACUUGAAACAAGCUCAGGAAGAGAGAGAGCUGUGUUCUGGCCACUUUACAGAUGGGCAAAUGAAGCCUUAGAGACUCAGGGACUUGGCCAGGGGCUCGCAGCUGGUGAGUGUCAGAAAUGGGCCCAUCUAGGGUCACUCAAGGUCUUGGACUUCACCAAGCUAAAGAUCAUGCUCCAGAUUUACAAAUAUUUAACAUUCCUGCUUGGGGCUUAUUACGAGAGUGUGAAAGGAGGUGGCGCUUGGAUGGCUCAGUUGGUUAAACAUCUGCCUUCGGUUCAAUUCAUAAUCCCGGCGUCCUGAGAUUGAGCCCUGCAUUAGGCUCCCUGCUCAACGAGGAGUCUGCUUCUCCCUUUGCUGCCC